GGAAACCACGCCAUCUAGUUAACGUAUAAGCGGCGGCAACGGCCCGAAAGGAGCAGCCCCACACCCCGCCCCGCUCCCAGGAAAGCGCGUUCAGCUUUCGACUGCUCGUGAUCCCUGCUGGGGGAAAGCUGACUGAAGUGAGGUUUCCAAACUGUGUGUGCAAAUAAUAGCAUCUGAAGCCUUUCUUACCCUCCUUAAAAGAAGGUAGGA